rnacentral:rRNA from 1 species
GGGCAUCCCGGAGGCAGGAAAGGCUUCGCCCGGACAGGGAUGGGCAUGCGGCGCAUUAGGCAGUAGGCGGGGUAACGGCCCACCUAACCGACGAUGCGUAGGGGUUCUGAGAGGAAGGUCCCCCACACUGGUACUGAGACACGGACCAGACUCCUACGGGAGGCAGCAGUGAGGAAUAUUGGUCAAUGGUCGGGAGACUGAACCAGCCAAGCCGCGUGAGGGAUGAAGGUACAGAGUAUCGUAAACCUCUUUUGUCAGGGAACAAAGGCGGGGACGUGUCCCCGGAUGAGUGUACCUGAAGAAAAAGCAUCGGCUAACUCCGUGCCAGCAGCCGCGGUAAUACGGAGGAUGCGAGCGUUAUCCGGAUUUAUUGGGUUUAAAGGGUGCGCAGGCGGUCUGUUAAGUCAGCGGUCAAAGCCCGGGGCUCAACCCCGGCCCGCCGUUGAAACUGGCAGUCUCGAGUUGGAGAGAAGUAUGCGGAAUGCGCGGUGUAGCGGUGAAAUGCAUAGAUAUCGCGCAGAACUCCGAUUGCGAAGGCAGCAUGCCGGCUCCACACUGACGCUGAGGCACGAAAGCGUGGGUAUCGAACAGGAUUAGAUACCCUGGUAGUCCACGCAGUAAACGAUGAAUGCUGGCUGUCCGGGGGGAUUGACCCCUGGGUGGCGAAG